AGCAGUUUCGACUUCGUCCAAAGGGAAAAACUUGUUUGCAAAUCCGUACUGUGACCCUACCCGGGACUGGUUGACCAUAGGUGUAUCUGAGGGAGAAGAGCCAUUAAGAUGCUACAGAAGUUACGGAGCCAGGAGCUGCGUCACUGAUAAGCUGGAAGAACAGUUCCGCAACACCACGUUGUGAGGUCAGAUCUAGCCACUGGGCUAUGCGACUCCCUGAAGGGUCCUACAGAAGAAAAAGAAGACAUCAAAUUAGCAUAAAGGCUGUGAGACUGAAUCUAUCGGAAAUCAUAGCCAUCCUUUGUAAUGGCCUUGGCAUAGUUUAUACCUAAAGUUUUUUCCAAUAAAACCUAUCAGAUCUUCCAUCAAAAACAGUUAUUCCCAUAGAGCCCAAGACUAG